rnacentral:rRNA from 1 species
CCCUUAGAUGUUCUGGGCUGCACGCGCGCUACACUGACAUACUCAGCAAGUUUCCUUGCCUGAAAGGGUUGGGUAAUCUUGUUAGUGUAUGUCGUGCUGGGGAUAGAAUAUUGUAAUUAUUGCUCUUUAACGAGGAAUUCCUAGUAAGCGCAAGUCAUCAGCUUGCGUUGAUUACGUCCCUGCCCUUUGUACACACCGCCCGUCGCUCCUACCGAUUGGGUGAUCCGGUGAAUGAUUCGGACUCUGGCUAUGCUAGCUACUAGCUACGUCAGGGAAAGUUUUGUGAACCUUAUCACUUGGAGGAAGGAGAAGUCGUAACA